rnacentral:rRNA from 1 species
CAGGGGGGGUAAGCGUUGUUCGGAAUUACUGGGCGUAAAGGGUUCGUAGGUGGCUUGCUAAGUCUGACGUGAAAUCCCUCAGCUUAACUGGGGAACUGCGUCUGAUACUGGCGAGCUUGAGUGCAGGAGAGGAACGCGGAAUUCCAGGUGUAGCGGCGAAAUGCGUAGAUAUCUGGAGGAACACCGGUGGCGAAGGCGGCGUUCUGGACUGCAACUGACACUGAGGAACGAAAGCCAGGGGAGCAAACGGGAUUAGAUACCCCGGUAGUCCUGGCCCUAAACGAUGAAUGCUUGGUGUGGCGGGUAUCGAUCCCCGCUGUGCCGAAGUUAACGCGUUAAGCAUUCCGCCUGGGGAGUACGGUCGCAAGGCUG